rnacentral:rRNA from 2 species
ACGCCGCGUGAGUGAUGAAGGUUUUCGGAUCGUAAAGCUCUGUUGUUAGGGAAGAACAAGUACCGUUCGAAUAGGGCGGUACCUUGACGGUACCUAACCAGAAAGCCACGGCUAACUACGUGCCAGCAGCCGCGGUAAUACGUAGGUGGCAAGCGUUGUCCGGAAUUAUUGGGCGUAAAGGGCUCGCAGGCGGUUCCUUAAGUCUGAUGUGAAAGCCCCCGGCUCAACCGGGGAGGGUCAUUGGAAACUGGGGAACUUGAGUGCAGAAGAGGAGAGUGGAAUUCCACGUGUAGCGGUGAAAUGCGUAGAGAUGUGGAGGAACACCAGUGGCGAAGGCGACUCUCUGGU